rnacentral:rRNA from 1 species
GUUGCCGGCCAUAGGUGAUGGGGAAACACCCGUUCCCAUUCCGAACACGGAAGUUAAGCCCAUCACCGCGUUUCCAAGUACUAACGCCGAGAGGCGUUGGGAAAGGGGCGUGCUGGCAACG